GAGUAGUUAAUAAUAUUUUGCAUUCAAUGUUCAGAAAUCGUAUUUGCAAACGAUUUUAAACUAUGGUAGUGAUGCCAGUGAAAGUCACUUAGCUACUCAAGGGUAUUAUCCUAAUUAUGGAAAAUUAAUAUCUGGUCAAUAUGUUAACACCGAUGGGAACAUUCUGCUCAAAAAUAUAUUUCAAAACAGUAAUAAGGUUGAACUGUUCGGAAAAGUUCAUGGAGAUAUAUUUAAUCAGCCAAAAUUACUCAUAAAUAAUGUUGAUUUGAGGAUAACUUUUAACAUUGAAAAAACAGCAUUUUAUUUGAUGGAAACUGAUACUGAGUCAAGUCUUAAGAUAUUGGAAGCGCAACUUUUCAUGAAUCACAUAACUAUUAAUCCAAGCAUUUUAUUGGCCCAUCAUCAUGUUUUACAAACUAAAAAUGCCAUUUAUCCAUACAGCAAAGUUCAAGUAAAAUCAUUUACAAUAUAUCCAGGAAAUAAUACGCUAUCAAUUGACAACGCAGUUAUUGGACAGCUUCCUAAUUUCUUAGCUUUUUGCAUGGUAAAAAACAAAUCAUAUUCAGGAAAUCGGACAUUAAAUCCAUUCAACUUUGAUCAUUUUAAAAUUCAACGCUUUAAUCUAAUGGUAAAUGGUGUGCAAGUACCAUCGCAGGCACUUGAAUUUGAUUUCUCGAAUUCCGAAAAUGCUCAAAGCUCUAGAGGAUAUAAUAUGUUAUUCAGAUCAAGUGGCAUAAGACAUUAUGAUCGAGGCUUGCAAAUCACAAAGGAAAUGUUUGAUAAAAACAGUUUUAUAUUAGCAUUUGACUUAACUGCAGAUCAUCAUAAUUCAACUGUAUGCUCAAAUUUGAUUUCUCAAGGAUCCAUCCGAAUUGAAGGACGUUUUUCUGAGCCUCUUACAGAAGCAGUUACUUGUCUGGUGUACUGUGAAUAUGACUCAAUGAUUGAUAUUGAUAAACAUCGAAAUAUACGUGUUCUUCUGUAAAAAUGAAUACAUUGCAAAUCGAUAAUUUGCUCUCCAAGCAUUCAAAAACAAAAACAAUUUUUAAAGGCGUUUAUCCCUCUGAUAGGCUCCCAAAAGUAAUUUCUAAAUAUCCUGCUUUAAUAAUAGCUAACACAGAUUCUUCAAACCGUCCAGGAACGCAUUGGGUUGCAUUUUACUUUGAUAG